AUUGGCGCUGCCUGCGGGGGAGGAGCGCCGCCGCCGCCGCCGCCGUCGCCGCCGCCGUCGCAGUCGUCGUGAGUGAGGAAGCGCGUCUGUCGCGCGUGCUGAGGGCCCUCGCCGAUGCCUGGGCUUACCCGCCGCCCCGCCAGCUCCGCUCGUUUCCCGUCCCCCGCGGCCCGGCGCGGGGCAGGCCUGCCGGGGCCAUGGAGGACGAGGUGGUCCGCAUUGCCAAGAAGAUGAACAAGAUGGUGCCGAAGAAGAACGCGGGGACAUGGGUUCGAUCCCUUGUCCGGGAAGAUCCCACAUGCCGCGGAGCAACUAAGCCCAUGCGCCACAACGACUGAGCCUGCGCUCUAGAGCCCGGAAGCCACAACUACUGAGCCCACGUGCCACAAGUACUGAAGCCCGCGUGCCUAGAGCCCGUGCUCUGCAACAAGAGAAGCCACCGCAGCGAGAAGCCCGCACGCUGCAACAAAGAGUAGCCCCCGCUCGCCGCAACUAGAGAAAGCCCACACGCAGCAACGAAGACCCAACGCAGCCAAAAAUAAAAUAAAUUAACUAAUUAAUUUAAAAAAAAGAAUGUUAUUCCAUAGGAAAGCUGUCUGGCUUCGAGGUUGCAAUCCCAGGGAAUUUUUCAUCACCAGGGAAGUCUCCAUCACUACAGAGGAAUCAAGGGAGAAGUCAGUCCCUGACUGGUGUUUCAUCUUGACAAGCUCUCUGUCAUUGCAUAGGAAAGCUGUCUGGCUUGGAGGUUGCAAUCCCAGGGAAUUUUUCAUCACCAGGGAAGUCUCCAUCACUACAGAGGGAUCAAGGGAGAAGUCAGUCCCUGGGAAGUGAGAUGCUCCCCCUAAACACCAACACAGCAGUCGUGUACCUUUCAAGGGGUUCAGGGGCAAGCUGGGCAAGGCAUUUCUACUAACUCUUCUUAAGGACCCUGGACAGUGCCCUAUGCUACGAGACUGGUGUUUCAUCUUGACAAGCUCUCUGUCAUUGCAUAGGAAAGCUGUCUGGCUUGGAGGUUGCAAUCCCAGGGAAUUUUUCAUCACCAGGGAAGUCUCCAUCACUACAGAGGGAUCAAGGGAGAAGUCAGUCCCUGGGAAGUGAGAUGCUCCCCCUAAACACCAACACAGCAGUCGUGUACCUUUCAAGGGGUUCAGGGGCAAGCUGGGCAAGGCAUUUCUACUAACUCUUCUUAAGGACCCUGGACAGUGCCCUAUGCUACGAGACUGGUGUUUCAUCUUGACAAGCUCUCUGUCAUUGCAUAGGAAAGCUGUCUGGCUUGGAGGUUGCAAUCCCAGGGAAUUUUUCAUCACCAGGGAAGUCUCCAUCACUACAGAGGGAUCAAGGGAGAAGUCAGUCCCUGGGAAGUGAGAUGCUCCCCCUAAACACCAACACAGCAGUCGUGUACCUUUCAAGGGGUUCAGGGGCAAGCUGGGCAAGGCAUUUCUACUAACUCUUCUUAAGGACCCUGGACAGUGCCCUAUGCUACGAGACUGGUGUUUCAUCUUGACAAGCUCUCUGUCAUUGCAUAGGAAAGCUGUCUGGCUUGGAGGUUGCAAUCCCAGGGAAUUUUUCAUCACCAGGGAAGUCUCCAUCACUACAGAGGGAUCAAGGGAGAAGUCAGUCCCUGGGAAGUGAGAUGCUCCCCCUAAACACCAACACAGCAGUCGUGUACCUUUCAAGGGGUUCAGGGGCAAGCUGGGCAAGGCAUUUCUACUAACUCUUCUUAAGGACCCUGGACAGUGCCCUAUGCUACGAGACUGGUGUUUCAUCUUGACAAGCUCUCUGUCAUUGCAUAGGAAAGCUGUCUGGCUUGGAGGUUGCAAUCCCAGGGAAUUUUUCAUCACCAGGGAAGUCUCCAUCACUACAGAGGGAUCAAGGGAGAAGUCAGUCCCUGGGAAGUGAGAUGCUCCCCCUAAACACCAACACAGCAGUCGUGUACCUUUCAAGGGGUUCAGGGGCAAGCUGGGCAAGGCAUUUCUACUAACUCUUCUUAAGGACCCUGGACAGUGCCCUAUGCUACGAGGGAAGUGACAGGCGGCUAUGCCCCUGAUUUGGAAUCUGAGAUGGUGUUCCCUGAGCAAGGCUGGCAGAAAGCGAUGGAUAUAGAGGGACCAUGUUAUUGGCGUCUGAAGUUUUAUCAUACUGGGCUGCCAUAAACAUGGAGGAAGCAGCUGUGUGCCGGUCAGUGAGUGCCAGAGCAAAGUCUCCGAGUGAAGAAGAAUUCUUUUCAGUGCUUCCUGUGAUGUCCCACUCAAGAACACCUGGAUAGGAAGGAGCUGAAGUGGAGAUCUGGCUGUGGUCAGUAACUCCAGAUAACAUAGUCGUGCUAGAAUGUUGGGAAAGGUAGGCACUACCCAUGAGUGUCUGGAAAGAGGUCCCAGUAGCCGAUGCCGAACUGACGGCAGGGGCAGAGACUCUGGAGAAGUUGCACAGACACUUCGUGUUAGGGAAGUUGCAUUGCUCACCACAGGAAGAGAAUGCUGCAGAGAAUUUAGAGUUCCAAGUAGAGAUGGAUUUUGGAAAUUUUCUGUAAGAACAAGAGGCUCAUGAAAAACUCAGGGAGGUUGAGAAAUUCUCACUCCGUUUGAGGAACAGCAUUAUCUUAAGGUUCUUGCUAUCAGGACACCUCUACUAUCAAUACUUCCUGAGAAACCCAAAAUCAGACAGUUAAUGAUGGCUGUAAGGACUGAGCAGUUUUCCACUCUUCUGUAUUAACUGCCUGUGCUCCCAUCUUGGGCGCAGAUGGGCAGAAGAGCCAAGUGGUAUGGUUCAGACAUUGUUCUCUAGGCUGGAAGCAACCUUCCCCCUGCCCUGUCUUUCCCUUCAGCCUGCACUCGUAUUGAC